AUAGGGGGGAGAUAUUUUGGGUGACAGACGAAGAGAUUUUUGGGUAGCUUAGGAGAGAAGACAACGGGGGAGAAGACCAUUUGAGGGAGAGGAAGGUUUGAGAGGAGAAAACUUGGGGAAGAAAGCUUGAGGGGAAGCGAGAUGGAGAGAGGACUAGAAAAAUAGAGAGUUGCAAGAGAAGCAAAAGCACAGUUGCAAGCUAACCCACUCUUUGCUUGAAAUGAGCAUUCCAGGUAUGAUUAUUCGUGAGCUCCUUAUUUCUCAUUUCCACCUUGAUUAACUUUCAUUUUCAGUAUUUUUUUUUCUGAGUAUUUGGUUUGUUGAUUGGUGUGGAUAUUAUGGGCCACUCGUUUGUUUUGUGGGACUCUGGGUAUGCAUGCUCUGUUUUAGAUUUAUUUUGGAUGUUUUUUACUUCUCUUGAAAAUAUCUGAUGCUCUGUUCCUUCCCAUAACUUGAUGUAUCAAGACCAUGCUCUUAUUUCCUCCGUAUUCCACCUGUUCAAAGCUCUUUGACGGUCCAGGGCAUAAAGCUAAACUCAUACUCUGUUUUUAUUACGUUUUCGUUCUUCCUUGGUUAUUACUCGGUUUCUUGUUGAGGGUGGAGUGAUGUCUUCAAUAACCAAGCUGGUGGGAUUCAAUGAGUGUGGUCAUG
rnacentral:lncRNA from 1 species